AUGAAGACUCAUCAUCGGAUUGGCAAGGAGAUUCAAGGUUUGAAGAAACAAAUCAUUGAGGUGGGCCAGAGGAAUGCAAGGUACAAGAACCGUGAGGAUUUCUCCAGCACCAGAAAUGCAACUGUUGACCCCAGAGCGCUUGCUAUCUUUGAGCAUGCCUCAAAACUCAUCGGAAUUGAUGAACCGAAGUGUGAGAUAAUAAAAAUGUUGACACAAGAUGAUGGAGUUGCUUCAACCCAACACCAAAUAAAGAUGGUCUCUAUUGUUGGAGCUGGAGGUAUGGGCAAGACAACCCUUACAAACCAAGUGUAUCAGGAGCUCAAAGGGCAAUUUGAGUGUCACAAUUUCUUAUCCGUGUCAAGAAAUCCAGACAUGAUGUGUAUCUUGAGGACUAUUCUUAGUGAAGUUACUGGUCAAAAAUAUGGUGACACUAAAUCAGGGAGUAUACAACAAGUCAUCAGCAAGAUCAAUGAUUUCCUAGCAGAUAAAAGGUACUUUAUUGUUGUUGAUGAUAUAUGGGAUGUAAAAACAUGGGAUGUUAUUAAGUGUGCAUUUCCCAUGAACACUUGUGGAAGUAUCCUAAUCACCACUACUCGUAUGACUGAUGUUGCUCGGGCAUGUUGUUCAUCAUUUGUUGGUCACAUCUACAAUAUGAGGCCUCUUGAUAUGGCACAGUCAAGAAAACUAUUUUACACAAGACUAGACUCCAAAGAAGAUUGCCUUGAGCACCUUGAAGAAGUUUGUGAUCAAAUUUUAGAAAAAUGUGCCGGUUCACCUUUGGCAAUCAUUGCUAUAUCUGGUUUGUUGGCUAACAGAGAAAAUACCAUUGAAGAAUGGGAUAGAGUGAAAAAUUCAAUUGGACGUACACUUGAAAGAAAUGCUACCGUGGAAUUAAUGAUGAAGAUAUUAUCACUUAGCUAUUUUGAUCUUCCUGCUCAUCUGAAGACUUGUCUACUGUAUCUGAGUAUAUUUCCAGAGGACUAUAUUAUUGAGAAGAAGGACCUGAUAAGGAGAUGGAUUGGUGAAGGGUUCAUACGUAAAGAGGGCAGAUAUACAUUAUAUGAGUUAGGACAAAGGUAUUUUAAUGAGCUAAUCAAUAGGAGUCUGGUCCAGCCUGUUAAGUCAAAUGAACAUGGUGUGGUGAUGAGUUGUCGAGUUCAUGACACAAUUCUUGAUUUCAUCACAUCCAAGUCCAUUGAAGAGAACUUUGUUACUUUCAAUGGUCUUCCGGAUCUAAACACUGUGACACAGCGCAAAGUUCGUCGUCUAUCUCUCCAAGUUGGGAAUCAAGGAAAUUCUUCAAAUAGCUUGUUGUUGUCUCAUGUCCGAUCAAUUAAUGUGUUUGGGUAUUCCGGAGAAAUUCCUUCUCUGGAUAAGUUCAAGUAUUCGCGUGUUUUAGACUUUGGAGGCUUUAGCCAACUGGAGAGCCAUCAUCUUGCAAAUAUAGGGAGAUUGUUUCAGUUAAAGCACCUGAACUUGAGAAACACAAGAAUAAAUGAGUUAUCAGAACAAAUCGGACUUCUAGUGUUCUUACAGAUGCUGGACAUAAGAGGCACAUACGUGAAUAAAUUACCUGCAUCUAUUGCUAAUCUCAGAAGAUUGGUGUAUCUCCUCACGGACACGGGUGUUAUAUUUCCAGAUGGAAUUGCCAAGAUGCAAGCACUGGAGAUACUGAAGCGGGUCGCAGUCUUCAAGCAAUCAGUUAACUUUCUGCAAGAAGUUGGCCAACUAAAGAAUAUGCGAAAGCUGAUCCUAGAUUGUGAAGAAAAUACAGCAGCAGUUAAGGAGCAGGGUGAUGCAACGGGAGUUAAGGAGGAGCGCAAUAAAGCUAUUGGCUGUUCUCUCCAUAAACUGUGGACACAGAACAUUGGUUCUGUAACUAUUUGGAAUCAUGAAUGCCGUAUCUCGGUGGAACCAAAGAGCAAGAAACUUAUGGGUGGGGCACCGCAAGUUCAGAGUUGGAUGGGCUUCCUCAUCAAUCUCCAAGAGUUGCAGCUUGAAGUGCAGGGAGUCGACCAGGAACAUAUCUGCAUCCUUGGAGGCUUACCAGCUCUGAUUGUCCUGAAGAUGAAAGUAGCAGCAAAGGGUAAUGACCUGCUCAGAGUCAGUGGUGCAGUUGGGUUCCCAUGCUUGAGGGAGUUACUUUAUCAUAAAGUACUGUUUGGAGGGAUGGAUCUAUUGUUUGAACCAGGAUCCAUGCCCAAGCUAGAGAAACUUGAUCUUCUGUUCAACGCAGCGGAAUGUGACUCUCUCAGCAGCGAAGCUUUCGAUCUCGGAAUCGGUAACCUCCUCAACCUCGGCAGUGUCAAAUGUGAAGUACGUGGCUGGCUCAACAGUGCUGUUUCAGCAGCAAAGGCUUAUUUGGAGAAAACAGCCAGGACACAUCCCAACUGCCCUACUCUACUGCUUGCAUAG
rnacentral:rRNA from 1 species